rnacentral:lncRNA from 1 species
UAGACAGGGAGUGCAGGAUGGCCAUCCAAUUAUUUGGAUGUAGUUCAGGGAGUGGAGAUAGCAAAUUAGAAUGUUGAUUUUGAGUUCUUGGGGAUACAGAAAUAGAAGUGUCAAAAUACAAACCAGGAACUUAAAAUAGGGUUUGUGUUAAAGGGGUGGAUUUUAACAGUUGCUGUGUUUAUGCCAGCUGAAUUCAUGGAUGUGGAUGAAAUCAUCUUCAGAGAGUGUAAGGGAUGAUAAGAAAAGCUAUGGAGACAGACAAAGCAGUACUGGAAAAUAUCGAUAAGUUGUCAGAAGUUCCAGUUUUAUGUUGUUUUUUUCCCCCAGAGGCUUUGAGGCUACCCUCAGCAUACAAAGUCCGCCAAAAAAAGUACACACACAUCAGCAGUCGCUGUACUAAUACAUGUCUGGAAGCUAAUGACCACCACUUUCUUUUGAUUGUAGAGUCCAAAGAUAACGUAUUAAUCUCAUGAUGUCUCAAAAAAUUUAACAUUAAAAUAUUUAUA